GACGAACGCUGGCGGCGUGCUUAACACAUGCAAGUCGAACGGAAAGGCCCUGCUUUUGUGGGGUGCUCGAGUGGCGAACGGGUGAGUAACACGUGAGUAACCUGCCCUUGACUUUGGGAUAACUUCAGGAAACUGGGGCUAAUACCGGAUAGGAGCUCCUGCUGCAUGGUGGGGGUUGGAAAGUUUCGGCGGUUGGGGAUGGACUCGCGGCUUAUCAGCUUGUUGGUGGGGUAGUGGCUUACCAAGGCUUUGACGGGUAGCCGGCCUGAGAGGGUGACCGGGGGGGGGGGGGGGGGGGGAGGGGGGGGAGGGGGGGGGGGGGCGGGGGGGGGGGGGGGGGGGGGGGGGGGGGGGGGCUGAUGCAGCAACGCCGCGUGCGGGAUGACGGCCUUCGGGUUGUAAACCGCUUUCGCCUGUGACGAAGCGUGAGUGACGGUAAUGGGUAAAGAAGCACCGGCUAACUACGUG
rnacentral:rRNA from 1 species